rnacentral:rRNA from 1 species
UACGUAGGGGGCAAGCGUUGUCCGGAUUUACUGGGCGUAAAGAGCGUGUAGGCGGCCACGCAGGUCCGUUGUGAAAACUGGAGGCUCAACUUCCAGCCGUCGACGGAAACCGUGUGGCUAGAGUCCGGAAGAGGAGAGUGGAAUUCCUGGUGUGGCGGUGAAAUGCGCAGAUAUCAGGAAGAACACCGGUGGCGAAGGCGGGUCUCUGGGCCGUAACUGACGCUGAGGAGCGAAAGCGUGGGGAGCGAACAGG